GACGAACGCUGGCGGCGUGCUUAACACAUGCAAGUCGAACGGAAAGGCCCUGCUUUUGUGGGGUGCUCGAGUGGCGAACGGGUGAGUAACACGUGAGUAACCUGCCCUUGACUUUGGGAUAACUUCAGGAAACUGGGGCUAAUACCGGAUAGGAGCUCCUGCUGCAUGGUGGGGGUUGGAAAGUUUCGGCGGUUGGGGAUGGACUCGCGGCUUAUCAGCUUGUUGGUGGGGUAGUGGCUUACCAAGGCUUUGACGGGUAGCCGGCCUGAGAGGGUGACCGGCCACAUUGGGACUGAGGUACGGCCCAGACGCCAACGGGAGGCAGCGGUGGGGAAUAUUGCACAAUGGGCGGAAGCCUGAUGCGGCAACGCCGCGUGCGGGAUGACGGCCUUCGGGUUGUAAACCGCUUUCGCCUGUGACGAAGCGUGAGUGACGGUAAUGGGUAAAGAAGCACCGGCUAACUACGUG
rnacentral:rRNA from 1 species